rnacentral:rRNA from 1 species
CGCACGGGUGCGUAACGCGUAUGCAACCUACCUUAAUCAGGGGGAUAGCCCGAAGAAAUUCGGAUUAACACCGCAUAAAAUCACAGGACAGCAUUGUCCAAUGAUCAAAUAUUUAUAGGAUUAAGAUGGGCAUGCGUGUCAUUAGCUAGUUGGCGGGGUAACGGCCCACCAAGGCGACGAUGACUAGGGGAUCUGAGAGGAUGGCCCCCCACACUGGUACUGAGACACGGACCAGACUCCUACGGGAGGCAGCAGUAAGGAAUAUUGGUCAAUGGAGGGAACUCUGAACCAGCCAUGCCGCGUGCAGGAAGACAGCCCUCUGGGUCGUAAACUGCUUUUAUUCGGGAAUAAACCUACUUACGUGUAAGUAGCUGAAUGUACCGAAGGAAUAAGGAUCGGCUAACUCCGUGCCAGCAGCCGCGGUGAUACGGAGGAUCCAAGCGUUAUCCGGAUUUAUUGGGUUUAAAGGGUGCGUAGGCGGCUUAUUAAGUCAGGGGUGAAAGACGGUGGCUCAACCAUCGCAGUGCCCUUGAUACUGAUGAGCUUGAAUACACUAGAGGUAGGCGGAAUGUGACAAGUAGCGGUGAAAUGCAUAGAUAUGUCACAGAACACCGAUUGCGAAGGCAGCUUACUAUGGUGUGAUUGACGCUGAGGCACGAAAGCGUGGGGAUCAAACA